GAUGAACGCUGGCGGCGUGCCUAAUACAUGCAAGUCGAGCGAACGGACGAGAAGUUUGCCUCUCUGAUGUUAGCGGCGGACGGGUGAGUCACACGUGGAUACCCCACCUAUAAGUCUGGGAUACCUUCGGGAAACCGGAGAUAACACCGGACAAUAUUUUGAACCGUAUGGUUCAACAGUGAAAGACGGUCUUGAUGGCUCUUCUCGAUGGAUCCCAGCUGCAUUAGCUAGUUGGUAAGGUCACGGCUUACCAAGGCAACGAUGCAUAGCCGACCUGACAGACUGAUCGCCGACACUGGAGGUGGAACAGGGUCCAGGCGCCUACGGGAGGCAGCAGUCGGGAAUCUGAGGCAGUGGUCGGAAGCCUGGCACAGCAACGCCGCGUGUGUGGUGGAGGUCUUCGGAGCGUAACGCUCUGUUAUUGGGGGAAAACCUAUGUGUGAGUAACUGUGCCCAUCGUGACGGUACCUGAACAAAAAGCCACGGCUAACUACGUG
rnacentral:rRNA from 1 species